UUGAAACGCCAGUUCUCGUCCGAUCACUGAAGUUAAGAAACAUUGAGCUUGGUCUGAACCUAGAUGGGUGACCGCUUGGGAAUGUCAGGUGAUGUAAG